GAUUGUGAUGUCAUGUGCAUCAUCCUGACAGUCAUCCAUGUCUACUUCAAGGAACAACACGUUGGAAUAUUUUUCAGACAGGGAAUGAAAGAAAGGCUUGA